GGGCGGAGCAGAGGAGGCGGGUGGAGAGGCCCCGUGAUGCUGCGGCCCUUGCAGCCUCUCGCUGGCCCUUCUCCCCCAGGUUCUCCUGGAAGAGGUUCAAGUCAGAAGAUGCCCCUAAGAUCCACGUGGCCCUGAGCGUCAGCCUGUUUCUCGUGAACCUGGCCUUCUUCAUCGAUGUGGGGCAUGGCCCACAGGGGACCCAUGCUGCCUGCGUGGCCCGCGGUGCCAUCUUCCACUACUUCCUGCUCUGUGUCUUCACCUGGAUGGUGCUGGAAGCCUUCCACCUCUACCUGCUCGUCAUCAGGGUCUUCAACACCUACUUCGGGCACUACUUCCUGAAGCUG